GCUUCUGAUUCUCAAGUCAAUCACUUAAUAAUCUUUUACAGGAAAUACGAACCUAAAUUUUUUCACUGCUUCCAAAGCUCCCCUCAAAAAAGAAAUUCUUUAAUGUUUUGAAUGACUCCUUCAUUGGAUAAGUUUGCCAAGAAUUCCUGUUUGUCUGAAGAUGUGAGGCAGACCAGAAAAGUUCAAUAAACAUCCAUUUUCAGAGGAGAAUCAGUUCCAUUUGAUUCAAUUCACCUUCUGGACUUUGUAUGUUGAUUCUCCUACUAUGCAAGGAUAAGAACUGCAAAAUCAAGCAGGCUGAUGAUUCACAGAGAGAUGAACACUGAUUUUUGCUCCUGUCUGGUUCAAACCACAGUGAUGCGGCAGCUUCGGAAAAUACCUUCUGAAGUCAAGAGCUGUUCACUCAGGUGCUACAGAAAGAUUAACUUCAAGCCCUUCACUCCCAGGAAUUUCUCUGAUUCCUCACACUCCAGUAUGAAAGAUGUUGCGUCAGAAAUUGAAGCAUGAAUUAGAGGAGUAAUUCUCCAUUCAGCAGGGGACUCCUCACUGAACAAGCGACUAUCAG
rnacentral:lncRNA from 1 species